UGGAGAGGACUGAAGAAAGAGGGAAGAAGAGCGCAGCGGAGGGGCGGGGAAGGAGCGAGCCGUCUCCGUUAUGCAAAUAGAGUCGCGAAGACCGGGCGUGUUCCCUGCCACACGGCGCCCCAAACAGUCCCGGCCCUCCGGAGGUCGCUAGCGAGCGGGUUUGGGGUUAAAGGUGCCUGGUUGGAGAAAUGCGUGAUGCUGGGACCCUGCCUCCGCCCCCAAGGAGGGCUGACAGAGGACUGACGGGGAGGGGCAAUGCAGCGGCGCCUCAAUUUGAGGACCUCAAAUUCUGCCUCCACCCCCAACCCCCACCCUGCAUGCCCUGGAAAAUUAAAUGCAGCACUGUCCGGCUUUUUGUCUUAACAAGCGGACACUGUACAUCCUGGCUCUGCUACCGACUGACUGGGUGACCCUGAGCAAGUCACAUAACUUCGUCGAAGACUUGCAUUCUUAUUAUGUGUAAUAUGAAAGAUCAAAAUCUAUUUCACAGAGUUUGGCAAGAACCUCCUAACAUCGUGCGUGGCAAGUACAAGGCGCUCUCAAAAGGCAAAUAAGGAAGGGAAGGGUUGUCGUCAAAGCCCCGCAACACCAAGACUUCCACCCCAAGCUGUCUGCAGGCUUGCAGGUGUGCACACGGAGGCCUCAGGAGCAGAGAAUACAAGCCAGAAGACUAGCUUGGAAGCUGACAUCAGUGGAGCUAUAAUAAGAGCAUGAAUUGUGGCAAUGAAAUAAGGAAUGAAAAAGAACAUCUGAAUAAUAGCCUCCAUUUGGAGAGCAAAAGCACUUUGUUAUAUUGUCUCUCUUUAUCAUAAGAUAGGUGGUGGUUUAAUCCCUUUUUUAUGGAUGAGGAAACUGAAGUCACCUAGGAAGUGGAGAAGCCAGAAUUUGAGCUCUCUUCCACAUUCAUUGAAAGCCUUAAUUAUUUCUUUCAACAUCACUUUUAUGUAAACACUACUUAAGAACUAAGAACAAAUCUAUUUUAAAAAAGAAAAAGACCAGAAGGAAAAUUGCCAAAUGUUAGGAGUGGUUGUCUUUGGAUAAUGGGAUUUUUUUCUGUUUCUCUAUACUUUUCUUAUACUUCCCAAAGUGUCCUCAAUGUGUAUGCUUUAUUUUUAUAAUCAGAAUAAUAAAUAAAAUUUAAAUCACCACAUUGCUGAAGGCUAACCUGACCCUUCUGGUAAUUACUUAGAAAAUCAUCCCAUAAUAUGGUAAAACUGCAUUGCUUAAUAUGUUACUGUUAUGUGUAAAUUUAUAUGUCAAAUUCUAACUCCCAAGGCAGUGGUAUUAGGAAAUGGGACCUUUGAGGAGGUGAUUAGGUUAUGAGGGAAGAACCCUCAUCAAUAGGACUAUAGCCCUUAUAAAAGAGACCCCAGAGAGCUCCUUCCACCAUAUGAGGACACAGCUAGAAGGUACCACCUAUGAGCCAGAAAGUGAGCCCUCACUAGACACCAAAUCUGCCAUCAACUUAUCUUGGACUUACCAACCUCCAGAACUGUGAGCAAUAAAUUUCUGUUGUUUAUAAGCAA